rnacentral:rRNA from 1 species
UACGGGGGGGGCAAGCGUUGUUCGGAAUUACUGGGCGUAAAGGGCUCGUAGGUGGCCAACUAAGUCAGACGUGAAAUCCCUCGGCUUAACCGGGGAACUGCGUCUGAUACUGGAUGGCUUGAGUUUGGGAGAGGGACGCGGAAUUCCAGGUGUAGCGGUGAAAUGCGUAGAUAUCUGGAGGAACACCGGUGGCGAAGGCGGCGUCCUGGACCAACACUGACACUGAGGCACGAAAGCUAGGGGAGCAAACAGG